UACAGAGGGGGCAAGCGUUGUUCGGAAUUACUGGGCGUAAAGGGCGCGUAGGCGGCCUGUUAAGUCGAACGUGAAAUCCCCGGGCUCAACCCGGGAACUGCGUCCGAUACUGGCAGGCUUGAAUUCGGGAGAGGGAUGUGGAAUUCCAGGUGUAGCGGUGAAAUGCGUAGAUAUCUGGAGGAACACCGGUGGCGAAGGCGGCAUCCUGGACCGAUAUUGACGCUGAUGCG
rnacentral:rRNA from 1 species